GCCGUCGUGGAGCAAUAGUAGCUUAUUGGCCUCCUACCUCUUCCCCGAGGGAGUCUCAGCCAAAGGUUGCGGGUGCAAGUCCCGCCGUCGGUA